rnacentral:lncRNA from 10 species
GUGAUAUAGUGGGUGGCAAAUAGAAUUGCAGGAAGAAAGUGAAGAUCUGGUUGCCUGGAGCUUGUAAGAUUCAACCCUAGUUCAACACAGCUCUGUACUUGGACCACAAAGACAGAAAGAAAAAGGGUGUCUGAAGCUGAGAAGCCCAAGAAGAAUAAAAUACUGAAAAUAGUAAUAACAGUAAGCAACACUUAUACAGUGUUUAUUAAAUGCCAGCCACCUUGAUAGACAUUUUACAUGCAUUAUGCCAUUUAAUCCUCACAACCACCUUGUGAACUUGGUGCUGUCAUUGCCCUUGUUUUAAAACUAGAUUACUAAGACUUAGUUAAGUAAUUUCCUCAAGGUCAUGUAGCUGGAAAGUUGUGGAGCAAGUUUUCAAACUUGGGUUUGUCUAUCACGCAAGUUAUUUUUUACUUUAAAAGAUCUGAUCUUCUCUACUGUUUUGUCAUUUUGCAUGGAUGUUGGUCAUCCUUAUGUUCACAAUCACUCUUCUCCUUCUGAAUUAACAGACCUAGCUGGCAAGGCAGCAUAGAUAAUGGUUAAGGAAUGUGGCCAUUGCAUUCGAUUACCUGGAUUCAAAUUACGAUACCUACACUAAAAAGCUGUGAGACUGUGAAUCAUGGAUUUGACCUCUAUCUGCCUCAUUUUUUACAUCUGUAAAUAAGGAUAAUACCAGUGCCAACCCCACAGGUUUUUUAUAAGACUUAAAUGAGAUGGUGUGUGUAAAAGCAGUUGUUAUAUAUCUGAGCAUAAAAUAAGUGCUCACUAUAUAUUCGUUUUUAUUAGGAACCAGUAGUGCAUAUGAUACAUUCUUUGACAAAAGCCUGUGAAGAAGCAGAAGCCCAGCUGGCAUUUGUUUAGAAGGAAGUGAAACACUGGCCCAUAGACCCCUUUGGACCUUUUGAGUCAUUCCCCCAGAGUUGAGGAAGAAGAGAUGAAGCAAAAGAUUAUUAGUGACUAAAUGCAAUCUAUGAAUCAGGAAAGUAAUUUCUGUGUAUUUCAUACCAUUGAUGAUGGACUAAGGACUAAAGAGAUGUUUCUAAAUGUGGGCAUUGAUUAUCAUUAUUAAAUAGGCAGCAAAAGCUCAGACUUACUCUGCAAGGAAAAGGAUUUAUAAAGAAUGCCUUGGCUUCUUUAUAAUCAAAGCUUGCUUAUAAGAGUUUUGGGUAGGUCUUUCUCACACAGAUAAUCUUCACAGUCAUUAUUGCUUCAUCAUGGUUUUGAAGCCUAGUACAUGAACAUCCAGAGUCAGAAAACAGAUACAUGUGGAUGUGACUAGUCAGUUUAUUUUAAAAAGAAUUUACAAAAAGAUUUCUUCAAAUCUGUUAUUUUUAACCUUUUUGGCAUUUGGAGUCUACUAGGAAUCAAAAGAGUGCUGUUGAAAUAACAAUAGCUAAUGUUUAUUAAACUCUUACCAUUCUAAACCCUUUAUACAUAUUAGCGUACUUAUUUUCAAGACAAACCUUCAGAGUUGUUUUUAUUAUUAUCCUUAUUUUACAGAUGAGGAAAGCUGAAGUAUACAGGUUAUGUGACCUGAGUAGGAUUAUCCAGGUAGCAAGUGACUGAGCUACGACUUAAUCCAAGCAGGGUUGCUCUAGAGCCAGAACUUUGAGUCUUAACCACUUCCCCCAAUAAACUGUGCCUUGUUACAUGCAUCUGUAUCAUAUAGUUGUCCAAUUUCCCAUACAGUUUUGAGGCACAUGGAUUCCCUUAAAUCCAACUGUAAACUCCAUGAUAAACUGCUACAAAUAGUGAGUACUUCUAGUACAUUUAGUAUAUCUUAAUUAUGAAAAUAUAACUUAUAAACAAUCUUUUAGAAAAAAUUUAAUAAUCAAAGGGUACUAAAGUUUUUUUGUUUUUUGUUUUUGAUACAGAGUCUUGCUCUGUCACCCAGCCUGGAGAGCAGUG